CCUUGUCCCAACAGGGUAAGGUUUGUCUAAUGGCCCCUCCUUGUCCCAACAGGGUAAGGCUUGUCUAAUGGCCCCUCCCUUGUCCCAACAGGGUAAGGCUUGUCUAAUGGCCCCCCCUUGUCCCAACAGGGUAAGGCUUGUCUAAUGGCCCCUCCUUGUCCCAACAGGGUAAGGCUUGUCUAAUGGCCCCCUCCUUGUCCCAACAGGGUAAGGCUUGUCUAAUGGCCCCACCUUGUCCCAACAGGGUAAGGCUUGUCUAAUGGCCCCACCUUGUCCCAACAGGGUAAGGCUUGUCUAAUGGCCCCUCCUUGUCCCAACAGGGUAAGCCUCCAACAUCCUGGCCUAUCUGUGAUUAAGAAGAAGAAAUUCUACUUGUCAGUGUACAGUAGCAGUUAGUCUGCCAUCAGUGAUAGUGGCUCAAUACAAAGAGACUUUCUCCCAUGACCCCCAUGCCGCCUCCUCCUCUUCCUCACCUGUCCAUUGUGUCCCUGUGGCCAGAGUAAAGGGCCGCACAGCGUCUCAGGACUUCCACCCACCCCUCUGCCCCCCCUCCACCAUCAGACCUACCUAAGACUAAGGUCCCCCCAAGGACAUUAAGGUCACACCCAACUUGCUAUUCCUCUGAGCACUCCCAUCUAGAGAAAAGUAAAGCAGAGUGUUGAACAGAACAGAACACACUACACCAAUACAAGAUAAAUAGCUGUGAAACUUUGGAGGGUCAUAAAAUGCCAAAAUAUGCAAACUUUCCAUUUUGCUCUGUUUGAUGACAUCAUUUUCGAAGAGGUGACUGUAGUGUGUUGUGUGAAACCUAUGUAAUGCCUGUAGUGUAGAAGAAGAAACAUGAUAUGAAUACAUAUUUACAUCAUUAUUAUAUUUUAUGCAGCCAUUGCUCAAAUUGUCAAUUUUCCUCAUUCACAGAUUCAUGUUCAUAGAUUUGUUUUGGGGGGCGGUUCAUGAAUUAUCUCACUGUGUCGAGACCAAGCAGACAACACGCAAGUCUACAGGAAUGACUAACCACUUUAWAGGGUUUCAUACACUAACGUCGAGUGCUGCUCAGUCUUGUGGAUAAGGAUAGUGAUUUGUUGCCUGUUAUGAAGUAUGUCACUAAAAGUUAACAAAUUGUUUGUUCAAACUUCUCUGUCCUCCACUCCAAAAAAUAUUGCAGGAGCUUGUUUUGGCUAUGCAUUUGAAUUGUGGUGACAGAAAACAGUUGAUAAUCUUGCAGAACUGGUCAUAUACAUUUUGAAAUACAACCAAAAAACUCAAAUGACUGUACCAGGACAAAUCAUCAGGUUAAUCUAGAUGACAACCAAACUGUCAAGUAGGAUUUGAAACCGAACGUGUAACUGCGGUAUGAUGAAGGCAGAGUGACAUAGACACAUAGACAAUGGUUUUCUGUCUCAUCUCCCCUAUGGAUUUUCUCUCCUUCCGGUUUUUCAGUCUGGGUCUAAUUUUGUGUUUGAAAAAUGCAAAAGUAGACAGUGCUUCCUUAGUUAGUUGAAAUGUGAUAUUUUGCCCCUCUCCUCACUCGAUAGAAGUGCUGCCAGAUUCGUCCUGUUUUUAUUUUUCUUCCCUCCCCGCUUGAAAUGUUUGAACACCUCUCCUCUGCAUGUGCUUGUGGUCAAGGUUAGAUGCGUGCAUGGUAACAAAGCAGCAGACAUUUUAUUUUUUUGGUCAGUGAAAGUGUAUUUCAUUUCACAUUCAGCAAUAAAAAAAAGACCCCCCCCCAUGUCCAUUCUUGGAAUAUGCUAGAAAAAAUGUGAGAUUGUCAUAGAUUGUUAAAUAAAAUGGAGAAAAAAAAUAUCCACCUGUUCAUAUGAUAAAAUAAAUCUUUAUUCAUAUCAUUUUAACAUAAGCGGUCAUCCUCUGUGCAGGGCUUUGGUGUAUGUUUGAGAUAUCCUUAGCCAUUGGGUUGAGGUAUGACUGGUUUUGGGGAACUUCCUGCUUGUGACACACACUGUUUGUUUCCAGUAUCUGAAGUGUGUGUGUGUGUGCUGUGAUACGUCUGUUGGACAGUAACACUGAGCGUGCCAUUUCUCCAAUAUCUUGAGAUAUGGGACCACAGAAACCAGGGGAAACAUUGUUCGUUCUCUGUUACACAAAAGGUAAGAGUUAGGAAAAAUGAUCCUUUGUACACACAAACUAAUGAAUAGUGUACUAGACUGUGUCUGCUAAGGACACUGUCUAUAGUUUAGGUAGACUGUUGGUACUGUACAAGAAACAGGCAUACACGAGUUUAUGAGUGUCAAAAUGUGUCUGAUGUACACACUGGAAACAUGAAACGUUUGACACUGUAGUACUCCAGCUGCUCACACGGUGGUUCAAUGUCAAAUCAACAAUUCUUUCUGACUUCUCGCAAGACUUUUCCAAGACAUUCAUCUGKCUUUCAUCAUCGCUAACACAUUUAUUUCCCUUCGAUGACCCURAUCAACUAUCAGUUAUGUGUCGCUAGUUCUCACCGGUAAAUCCUGACAUGCUAAAAUUUGAAACACGUGCUUUCAUAUUAUUUCACUUCUGUCAAACCAAUUUUAAAACAAGCCAGUGAGUGAUUUUUGGAAUACACCUCGAUACUGUGAGAGGACUUCUUGGAAUAUACCGCUGUAGAUUUGAUCCUAUUCCAAAUAGUGAUAUUAUUGGCGACUGUGUUUCCAACUCAUUUAAAGCUCAACGCGCAUUGCAACAUGUUGAACUGGCUCACACACAAAUCCUGCAUUCAGGGCCCUUUUUCAAAGCGACGCUUGUAAGUCAGUGUCCCAGACUGCCAGCCUUUGCAGGGAGAGCGAAUGCUUGAGAAACCGCAUUUUGUUUUCUCAGAAACUGAUAUGCAUCUCUUUAAAGAUAUCUGUCAUGUCCACUUUAUAACAGCCUUGUGAAGGCUAAUGGAGGGUUCAAGAAAAGAGUAACCAAUUUUCACCACUUUU